rnacentral:rRNA from 1 species
UACGGAGGGGGCUAGCGUUGUUCGGAAUUACUGGGCGUAAAGCGCGCGUAGGCGGCUUUGUAAGUUAGAGGUGAAAGCCCAGGGCUCAACCCUGGAAUUGCCUUUAAGACUGCAUCGCUUGAACAUCGGAGAGGUAAGUGGAAUUCCGAGUGUAGAGGUGAAAUUCGUAGAUAUCCGGAGGAACACCGGUGGCGAAGGCGGCUUCCUGGACCGACACUGACGCUGAGGCGCGAAAGCUAGGGGAGCAAACGGG